rnacentral:rRNA from 1 species
GAGAGCUCCCUUCGGGGAGUGAGUAUAGUGGCGAACGGGUGAGUAACGCGUGGGAAACCUGCCCUUAAGUGGGGGAUAACAGGCCUAACGAGUCUGCUAAUACCGCAUGUGUCCCCGGAAUCGCAUGGAUCCGGGAAGAAAGGUGGCCUCUCCUUGGAAGCUAUCGUUUAAGGACGGUCCCGCGUCCCAUUAGCUUGGUUGGUGGGGUCAUGGUCUACCACGCGUGGACGAUGGGUAGCCGGUCUGAGAGGGUGUCCGGCCACAUCUGGUGACUGAGAUACGGGCCAGACUCCUACGGGAGGCCGGAGUCGACAAGCUUCGGACUAUGGGCUGAAGGGCUCUGACCGAGCGAUGCCGCGUGAGCGAUGAAGGUCCUAUGGAUUGUGACGCUCUGUCAGAUUGGGAAGAAAACUUCGCGAUUAAUACCCGCGAAGCUUGACGGUACCAUCACAGGAUGCACCGGCUAGCUCCGUGCCACCAGCCGCGGCUAAUAUCGGAGCGGUGCGAGCGUCGGCCGGAUUCGCUGGGUAUCAAGGGUGCGUAGGCGGCCUCGUACGUCCGGGGUGCCCUAUGACGGUUCAUCCGGCUAACUGUCCCUGACACUGCAAGGCUUGAGUCCGGGAGAGGAAGCUGAAAUUCAUGAUGUAUCGCUGAAAUGCGUAAAUAUCAGGAGGAACACCGGUGUCGAAGGCGGACCUUAUGGUCCGGUACUGACACUGAGGCACGAAAGAUAGGGGAGCGAACAGGAUUAGAUACCCUGGUAGUCCUAGCCGUAAACGAUGGGCAAUAGGUGUCGGAGGAGUCUACCCCUUCGGUGCCGCAGCUAAUGCAUUAAGUGCCCCACGUGGGGAGUACGAUCGCAAGGUUGAAACUCAAAGGAAUUGACGGGGGCCCGCACAAGCGGUGGAGCAUGUGGUUAAAUUCGAUGCAACGCGAAGAACCGUACCUGGGCUAGACAU